AAUACAAGCUGGUACACCUCAGUGUUUCUCAACCUUGACAACUUUUAAGAAGUGUGAACUUCAGUUCCAAAAAUUCACCAGCCAGCAUGCCAAGCCAGUCCAAGAGGGGUAAACAAGACAACAAAUCGACCGAUCAAAGCCACAGUAAAUGCGAUCCGGACAGGAAAUCAGAUCACUAUGGUCAAAGCAGAAAUCUGGAAAUGUUAAUCUGGCUUCAUUUCUAGCUGGUAUAUGCAUGGGAGCCCAUCUGUUUAGGG